rnacentral:rRNA from 1 species
AUGGUUGUCGUCAGCUCGUGUCGUGAGAUGUUGGUUAAGUCCCGCAACGAGCGCAACCCCUACGUUUAGUUGCUAACGCGUGAAGGCGAGCACUCUAGACGAACUGCCGUUGACAAAACGGAGGAAGGUGGGGAUGACGUCAAAUCAUCAUGCCCCUUAUGUUCUGGGCUACACACGUGCUACAAUGGCCGGUACAGACGGACGCAAAGCCGCGAGGUGGAGCAAAUCCGAAAAAGCCGGUCUCAGUUCAGAUUGCAGGCUGCAAUUCGCCUGCAUGAAGUCGGAAUCGCUAGUAAUCGCAGGUCAGCAUACUGCGGUGAAUACGUUCCCGGGCCUU